CUCCGCUGCCCGGGUCAACCAGCCGACGGUGGCGGAACGGCGGGUAGGUCGGCGGAGUUAGAUGGCCGCAAAGUCUUCCUCUGUUGCCCAGGCUGGAGUGCAGUGGUGAGAUCUCGGGGAAAAACGUGGCCGGCCGGAGUCCUCCCACAGACGACAGUGCCUUCCCGGCAGCAUCUCCGCCGGGCCCAAGAGGGUCGUGGAGUCGCUGGCUUCCUCCCAGGAACUCAGAGUUGAUCUCUGCACCACGCCAUCACUGCCGGGGGUGAGGAAAUUCUGGCACCAGUGAUUCAGCACUGUUUUUUUCUCUCUCUUCAGUGCCUCUUUCAGUGAUAUGAAGUUAAAACCAGAUACCCAGCGGUGGGAUUGCUAGAUCAGACAGAGCCAAUUGAUGAUCAGCAGGGCCUGAAAACGCCAAAAUCCUGAAACAACUGAUCUUUGAAAACUUCAACAUCCCUGAACGAAACGUCCAAACACAUUUAUCCACCAAUCAAAGACCCUUUA
rnacentral:lncRNA from 1 species